rnacentral:rRNA from 1 species
UACGAAGGGAGCUAGCGUUACUCGGAAUCACUGGGCGUAAAGCGCAUGUAGGCGGAAUUAUAAGUCAGGGGUGAAAUCCCAAGGCUCAACCUUGGAAUUGCCUUUGAAACUGUAAUACUUGAGUAUGGUAGAGGAUAGUGGAAUUUCCAGUGUAGAGGUGAAAUUCGUAGAUAUUGGAAAGAACACCAGUGGCGAAGGCGGCUAUCUGGACCAUUACUGACGCUGAGAUGCGAAAGCGUGGGGAGCAAACGGGG